rnacentral:rRNA from 1 species
UACGAAGGGUGCAAGCGUUACUCGGAAUUACUGGGCGUAAAGCGUGCGUAGGUGGUGAGUUAAGUCUGUCGUGAAAGCCCCGGGCUCAACCUGGGAAUUGCAGUGGAUACUGGGGAGCUAGAGUGCGGUAGAGGGUAGUGGAAUUCCCGGUGUAGCGGUGAAAUGCGUAGAGAUCGGGAGGAACACCAGUGGCGAAGGCGGCUACCUGGACCAGCACUGACACUGAGGCACGAAAGCGUGGGGAGCAAACAGG